CCCGACCGUAAACGAUGCCGACCGAGGGCCCGGAGGAGUUACGUACGACCCUCCGGGCCCUCCCGCGAGAAAUCAGGAGUAUUCGGGUUCCGGGGGAGUAUGGUCGCAAGGCCGAAACUUAAAGGAAUUGACGGAAGGGCACCACCAGGAGUGGAAUCUGCGGCUUAAUUUGACCCAACGCGGGAAAACUCACCAGGUCAGGACACGGUAAGGAUUGACGGACUGAAGGCUCUUUCUCGAUUCCGUGGAAAGUGGUGCAUGGCCGUUUUUGGUUGGUGGAUCGAUCCGUCUGGUUAAUUCCGUUAACGAACGAGACCUCGGCACUCCGAAUAGCGCGGCGGACGUCGCGGCCUCCGGGCCGUCUUCCGCACGAGCUUCUUAGAGGGACCGUCCCCCGCCGGGGAAGGAGGUGCGAGGCAACGACAGGUCUGUGAUGCCCUUAGAUGUUCUGGGCCGCACGCGCAUUACACUGACGCGUCCAACGGGUGACUCCCGACCCGAAGGGGCCGGGGAAUCCGCAAGGCGCGUCGUGAUGGGGAUUGAACGUUGCAAUUGUUGUUCACGAACGAGGAAUUCC
rnacentral:rRNA from 1 species